GGCCGGUUAGCUCAGUCAGUUGAGCGUGGCGCUAACAACACCAAGGUCAUGGGUUCGAUUCCCAUUCGGUCC
rnacentral:tRNA from 1 species